rnacentral:rRNA from 1 species
AGUGAACGCUGGCGGUAGGCCUAACACAUGCAAGUCGAACGGCAGCACAGUAAGAGCUUGCUCUUACGGGUGGCGAGUGGCGGACGGGCGAGGAAUACAUCGGAAUCUACUUUUUCGUGGGGGAUAACGUAGGGAAACUUACGCUAAUACCGCAUACGACCUACGGGUGAAAGCAGGGGAUCUUCGGACCUUGCGCGAUUGAAUGAGCCGAUGUCGGAUUAGCUAGUUGGCGGGGUAAAGGCCCACCAAGGCGACGAUCCGUAGCUGGUCUGAGAGGAUGAUCAGCCACACUGGAACUGAGACACGGUCCAGACUCCUACGGUAGGCAGCAGUGGGGAAUAUUGGACAAUGGGCGCAAGCCUGAUCCAGCCAUACCGCGUGGGUGAAGAAGGCCUUCGGGUUGUAAAGCCCUUUUGUUGGGAAAGAAAAGCAGCAGGUUAAUACCCCGCUGUUCUGACGGUACCCAAAGAAUAAGCACCGGCUAACUUCGUG